rnacentral:lncRNA from 1 species
CUGGGCUUGUAUUAUUAGGGUUGUUCUAUGUAUGAUUUUGUUGAAAAACGAUGAAGGGGAAAUUGAAUCGUGUCUUGCUGCUGCUAACUCUCCUAUGUUCUUCUCCUCUUUCUCUGGUUUCUGCCUCUUCUUGUCUGUUUCUCCUAUUCUUCUUCUUCUUUGGAAUUCCUUCUUUUCUCUUACUUUUCUAAGUCUCCCUUCUUCUUUACCUCUAUCAUUGCUGAAUUUGCUUCUCUUUUUUCUCCUUUGACCUCGACCCCCACUUCCCCUGUUCCUUUUUUCUUCUUCAUGGUUAGGUGUCGUAAUUGCUCAGCUCUCUUCUGAAUUUGUCUUCAUUUCUUCGUCUCUCUUCUUAGCUGAUAUAUCUCUUCUCUUUUAUAUAUGUCUUUUACUUGUAAUUUCCUGAUUAUAAUAGAUGAUAAGGAAAUGAAUGUGUCGGUUUAUGUUCUUCAAUUUUAGUAGUUACAAUGUAUAUUCUACAUCUUAAGUUUAUAGCUGCUUGUUAUUUGUUUAUUUUUACGGAAAUUGAGCUCCAACCAUAACAAAUGGUAUUAGAGCAGCUAAAAUCCUCGGCUGUCUCUCGAUUGGAUAGCAUAAUGGAAGAAAUCAGUUGGAAGCAUGAGCUAUUGAUUUCAAUGGUGACUGAAAUUAUUGAGGCUAAAUCAGCCUCCCAAGAUCCAUCCAACCAUUACCCAGAAAUAGCCGAGUCUUUUGAAAAGUAAAUGGACGAUUCAAAUUCUAAACUGGAAGGGAAAUGGGGUUCCUGUUCUGAACCGGAAGAGAAACUGUUGAAGCAUGUCAGUUUUUCCGAUUUGAAUAGAGACAAUGAUUUAGUUGUUGUAGUUACCAAGCAUGUUUCUGAGACCAAAACUCUUGUGGAAAGUAGUUUUGAGAAGUUGGAAUUUGAUUUAGGUGUUGAGAGGAUGAAGAAAACUUCAGUGUAGAGAAUGUAUUAGUUCUUGCUAGUGAUUAUAAACAAUUGAAUAGCACCGUUACUGAUAUGGAUAAAAUUGUAGGACCAAUUUUGGGAGAAUUGGAGAAGUGGGUGUUGAGUGUGAAAGCUCACAGCGGCUGUUAACAAUUUUUCAAUGAACACCCUCUCAUCAAGUUUGGAUAGUGCAGUCCCUCGAGCAAUAAAACACCAGCUUUCAUGCAAGGAUGAAAUUGAAGAGAGGACAAGCCCUGGCAAGGCCAUUUGUUCCUCAUCUGUUCCCAAUGAAAUUACAGAGAGGAGCUCUCCGAAAUCAGCCAGCAAUUGAGGAUACUUUGUAAACUGGAGAAUAGGAAAUUAGUUUUAAUACUUUGUUACAUUGGAAGGCAAAACUUGGAAAGGAUAACCUUGAAUGGCACAACUUAGAUUUUAAGUAUGAAAGAGGCCCCGAUGAUAUUUUCGAGGCUAUCAUUUGGAGUAAAUAUGGGAAGCACUAUUGUUAUGAGAUAGAUUGAUGCCAGUAUUUUGACGGGGGUUCUGAGAAGACUCAUCUCUAUUUUUGUCACUUUUUUCGGGGAGG